ensembl:lncRNA
UUCAGCUGUUAAAGCAGGGAUAUAUGUGUCUGUUGUUGUGCUGAUGGCUGCAGCUGCAGCUGCUGCAGUGAUUUACUCACUGAAUCUCCUCAGGAGCUCCGUGAAGGAUGAAGAAAGCCCUCAAGAUCAGAGAGGAUCCCAACAGGAUCAGUGUGAAGACACGGAUGCAUUAUUCACAUUUAAGUGAAGCGGCAAAAACAAGUUCUCAAUGGUCACACUGACUUAUCACAGGGCACUUACCGUUACCUGGUCUGGAAAUGUUAAAUCAACUGUUACUGGAAGCAUAGAUCAUUUUAGUGAUGUAAUCGUCUGAAUGUCUUAAAUCGUGCUCUAAUGAUUUGAUAGUUCCAGCUUACAGAACUGGAGUAUAUACAUAUAUAUAUAUACAGUGGCUGUAAAAUGAUAUCUUAUCAGUUAGUCGGCUUUUAAACAGUGCUGGAGAUUUAUUAACAGAGAAAGAAUUUGUGAAGAAAAAUUAAAAAUACCAGUAAAACCUAAGUCAUUUGCGGUUGUUAUGGAUAAACCUAGUAAAAUGUGCUGGAAUUAUUUUUAUUACUCCUGCAAUUCCUGUAAAGGUGAUAUAUGCUUUCUAUAUAUGCUGUUUUCCCAUUGCACAUAUUCUGGACUGAUAUGGAACAUUUAAUUAAGAAAAAAAAUGGAAAUUGCUUUACAGCUAAAUGGAUUUGACAUAUUAAUACACUUCAGUGAUCUUAAUAUGGAUAAAGCAUAUCUGGUACAGUUAUUAUAUAUAUAGGUACAUGGGAACGUUUCGUAUUUUAAAAUGACUUCAAGUUUUAUUGAGAUGCUUUACAAAACUGUAGAAAUGCAGUUAGAGUAUGUAUUAUGUGUGAGUGUAUUUAUAUUUACAUGAAUUUAUUAUGGUUUUUGUAUUUUUUUAUUUAAUUGUUUAAUUUAUUCAUUCAUUUUUGUGUCUGCUUAGGAAUAGACUUUUCUCAUUGUAGGCUUUUGUUCCUGGUUAUGGCUAUUGUAGUUCUCUAUGAAAAUGUCACUUUUUUAAGUUAUUUUCUUUUGAUAAUGUAUUUGUAUUUAAUAAAACUGAAUAAAUGUGACA